rnacentral:lncRNA from 1 species
CAUAAUUCGGGUCCAUUUAAUUGGAGAAUUUGGGCAGCCAGAAAAUAUUUCAUUGUUGUACUCUUCGUUCCAGCCUAUCUUUCAGACAGUAACAAGUUAUAUUUAUUUAAUUUAUUAAUUUUCAAUUCAAUUUUUGGUCAAGCAAUUUCCAAACUGUACUAUUUUACAGCUACAUAUCUCCAAUCAGUUGUCGUUGUAAUAAUUCCACAAUGUUUACAUUUUAAUUAUAUAUUUACGAGUAUAUAACUCUAAUUCUCUCUCUCCUCUGAGGCAACCGAGAGUGUCAUGAGAACUGCACGCCAAAAGUCAACCUGUGCACCAUUGCCCCUUUGGCCGUAUUUGGGAGAAUGGUGUCCGCCUCCAGCGUCUCCUUCCAUUAGCGCCGCUAAUGUCUGUAUGACAAGUUCUCAAAAAGAAGCCAAAACUCCCAAUAAACGAUUUUUUGUUCGAAUAGAAACACUGAUGAAACGGCCUUUUUUGGGUUAUGAAAUCCAUAGCACUCGUAAGAUCGUAAAACAAAUGAACGACUGUUUGAAUAGUUUUGUAUUUAAUCAGUUAACACUCAAAAGCUUGAUCGGAUCGGAAUAGAUGGGAUGGGAGCCACUGCCCCACCUUUGUUUUUGCCGUGAAGGCCCCAUCAAUAUUUCAAAUUCAAUUGAAUUCAUUUCAAUUCCAU